rnacentral:RNase_MRP_RNA from 2 species
UAAUCACGAGACGGAGUGAAUGGGUCAUGGUCGAUUCUUAAGGUGCGGCCAGAUCCAGGAAAGUCCCCGGGCCCAUGUCUGCAGAGAUGCAGGCUCGGUAACGAGUUAUCUUCGAGUCGAAGGGUCUACUUUGCCCCGUGCAAAGGGGGCUGAGACAAGUGUGGAGCCCUUUGCCCUCUUCGGCCGAAGUAAAAUUUGCCAAUGUGCACAGUUAUUCACUUGGUCCCUCGUGGACUAACAGAACGGGGCUUACGAUCUCGUGAUU